rnacentral:rRNA from 1 species
UACGGAGGGUGCGAGCGUUGUCCGGAAUCAUUGGGCGUAAAGGGCGCGUAGGUGGCCCGGUCAGUUCGUGGUGAAAGCGCGGGGCUCAACCCCGGGUCGGCCAUGCAAACUGGGGGGCUGGAGCACUGUAGAGGCAGGCGGAAUUCCGGGUGUAGCGGUGGAAUGCGUAGAGAUCCGGAAGAACACCGGUGGCGAAGGCGGCCUGCUGGGCAGUUGCUGACACUGAGGCGCGACAGCGUGGGGAGCAAACAGG